AUUUAUAUAGCUUAAGUAGAGCAUAGUAUUGAAGAUACUAAGGUAAUAUUAUUAUUUAUAAAUA
rnacentral:tRNA from 1 species